CAGUGAAUAGGCCCAAGCGACUGUUUAUCAAAAACACAGGUCUCUGCUAAACCGUAAGGUGACGUAUAGGGGCUGACGCCUGCCCGGUGCUGGAAGGUUAAGAGGAGUGGUUAGCGCAAGCGAAGCUACGAAUCGAAGCCCCAGUAAACGGCGGCCGUAACUAUAACGGUCCUAAGGUAGCGAAAUUCCUUGUCGGGUAAGUUCCGACCCGCACGAAAGGCGUAACGAUUUGGGCACUGUCUCAACGAGAGACUCGGUGAAAUCAUAGUACCGGUGAAGAUGCCGGUUACCCGCGACAGGACGGAAAGACCCCGUGGAGCUUUACUGUAGCCUGAUAUUGAAAUUCGGUACAGUUUGUACAGGAUAGGUAGGAGCCUUAGAAGCGUGAGCGCUAGCUUACGUGGAGGCAUUGGUGGGAUACUACCCUAAUUGUAUUGGAUUUCUAACCCGCAGCACUUAUCGUGCUGGGAGACAGUGUCAGGCGGGCAGUUUGACUGGGGCGG
rnacentral:rRNA from 1 species